rnacentral:rRNA from 1 species
ACGUUCGACACCUACGGAGGCAGCAGUGGGGAAUAUUGCACAAUGGGGGAAACCCGUGAUGCAGCGACGCCGCGUGGAGGAAGAAGGUCUUCGGAUUGUAAACUCCUGUUGUUGGGGAAAAAGAGGAUGGUACCCAACAAGGAAGUGACGGCUAACUACGUGCUAGCAGCCGCGGUAAUCUGAGCGGGCUGGCAAGGC